CAGAGACAGAGACAGAGAGAGAGAGAGAGAGAGAGAGAGAGAGAGAGAGAGAGAGAGAGAUGCAGAAAGAGGGCAAGACAGAGACACACUGGCAGAGAAACAGAGGGACAGAGAGGGGCAGCCAGCAAGAUGUACUCUCGGAUACGUAGAAAGCGGUACUCUGGGAUACGUAGAAAGCGGUACUCUGGGAUACGUAGAAAGCGGUACACUGGGAUACGUAGAAAGCGGUACUCUGGGAUACGUAGAAAGCGGUUGGAAAAUCACUUUUGUGAUUAACAGCAAACUAAAAAUGCCUAUUUUGUCUGCCUUCCUCACUGCUUGUUGAUCUUUGGAAGACUCAAGGGAACCAAUAGGAUAGGAGGGGCAUUGUUGUUGAUUCUUCUCCUCAGUACACAGAGAAAGUUCUAUAUGAAACCCAAAAGGAUUUUACCUGGAACCAAAAAAGGAUCUCCUAUAAGGAGAGCCGAAGAACCCUUUUGGAACCCUUUUUUUUACCUAAGAGUGUACCACUAGAGAGAGAGAGAGAGAGCAGUGAGAGAGAGAGGGAGAGAGCGAGCAGUGAGAGAGAGAGAGAGAGAGAGCAGUGAGAGGGAGAGAGAGAGAGAGCAGUGAGAGGGAGAGAGAGCAGUGAGAGGGAGAGAGAGAGAGAGCAGUGAGAGGGAGAGAGAGAGAGAGAGCAGUGAGAGGGAGAGAGAGCAGUGAGAGGGAGAGAGAGCAGUGAGAGGGAGAGAGAGCAGUGAGAGGGAGAGAGAGCAAGCAGUGAGAGAGAGAGAGAGAGAGAGCAGUGAGAGGGAGAGAGAGAGAGCAGUGAGAGGGAGAGAGAGAGAGCAGUGAGAGGGAGAGGGAGAGAGCGAGCAGUGAGAGGGAGAGAGAGAGAGAGCAGUGAGAGGGAGAGAGCGAGCAGUGAGGGAGAGAAUGGGAGGAGGGGUAGAUAGUGGUGGUAUGCGAUGUGUGACUUACUGGAUGCAGGCUACUAAAUCGAACUCGUUCAACAAUAUCUUAGUUUUAGCUCUAACCGCCCCGCCUGGCUGUACAAUCAAGCUAGCAUAGAUGCUACAGCCAAGCAACAGAGGUAAUUCACUGUGAUAGUUGAGGCCUGUUCGGUUGUUGUGAAUGCCACAAUUGAUUAUCAAAUGAUGCUGUGACAGUAAUCAACAGAGCGAGCCCCCAAAUACAUGCAGAUACAUCUCCAUGAAGUCCUGCUAAAGUCCUGAAGUCCAUGAUAAAGCGUGAUAAGACUGUAAUAUGGAUGUAAUGAAAUCCGAGUGCUAUUGUUAUUGUGCAUCAGGCAGUCAGCCAAGUGUUUAAUCUUCCUGUUGUUGACUUCCUGAUUCCUCUCUAUCUUCCCGAUGUUGACUUCCUGAUUCCUCUCUUCUCUCUGUUCUGUAGAAUCAAGGCUUCCCAAACGGUACAAUAUUCCCUAAGCACUUCUUUUAAACAGGACCCAUAGGGGUCUCUGGUCAAAAGUAACGCACUAUAUAGUGCCAUUUGGGAUACAGACUAGAUCUCAGAACAGCUACAGAAUGAAGAUUAAGAAUUUUGACUCAAGUUUAUUUCUCCCGUGACCGAGCGACUGCUUUUAUCUUCAAACAAACCACUAUAAAUAUGUAGAAAGGGAAAAAGACGAACAACCACCCUGAUCAACUCUCUCUGUCAACGACCAACUAGUCAUGACAGUCCUUAUGGAUAAUGGAGUGUAAUUGUUCAAAGGAGGACAGAUAACGCAGUUGACU
ensembl:lncRNA